rnacentral:rRNA from 2 species
AGAGUUUGAUCCUGGCUCAGGAUGAACGCUGGCGGCGUGCCUAAUACAUGCAAGUCGAGCGAACGGACGAGAAGCUUGCUUCUCUGAUGUUAGCGGCGGACGGGUGAGUAACACGUGGAUAACCUACCUAUAAGACUGGGAUAACUUCGGGAAACCGGAGCUAAUACCGGAUAAUAUUUUGAACCGCAUGGUUCAAAAGUAAAAGACGGUCUUGCUGUCACUUAUAGAUGGAUCCGCGCUGCAUUAGCUAGUUGGUAAGGUAACGGCUUACCAAGGCAACGAUGCAUAGCCGACCUGAGAGGGUGAUCGGCCACACUGGAACUGAGACACGGUCCAGCCUCCUACGGGAGGCAGCAGUAGGGAAUCUUCCGCAAUGGGCGAAAGCCUGACGGAGCAACGCCGCGUGAGUGAUGAAGGUCUUCGGAUCGUAAAACUCUGUUAUUAGGGAAGAACAUAUGUGUAAGUAACUGUGCACAUCUUGACGGUACCUAAUCAGAAAGCCACGGCUAACUACGUGCCAGCAGCCGCGGUAAUACGUAGGUGGCAAGCGUUAUCCGGAAUUAUUGGGCGUAAAGCGCGCGUAGGCGGUUUUUUAAGUCUGAUGUGAAAGCCCACGGCUCAACCGUGGAGGGUCAUUGGAAACUGGAAAACUUGAGUGCAGAAGAGGAAAGUGGAAUUCCAUGUGUAGCGGUGAAAUGCGCAGAGAUAUGGAGGAACACCAGUGGCGAAGGCGACUUUCUGGUCUGUAACUGACGCUGAUGUGCGAAAGCGUGGGGAUCAAACAGGAUUAGAUACCCUGGUAGUCCACGCCGUAAACGAUGAGUGCUAAGUGUUAGGGGGUUUCCGCCCCUUAGUGCUGCAGCUAACGCAUUAAGCACUCCGCCUGGGGAGUACGACCGCAAGGUUGAAACUCAAAGGAAUUGACGGGGACCCGCACAAGCGGUGGAGCAUGUGGUUUAAUUCGAAGCAACGCGAAGAACCUUACCAAAUCUUGACAUCCUUUGACAACUCUAGAGAUAGAGCCUUCCCCUUCGGGGGACAAAGUGACAGGUGGUGCAUGGUUGUCGUCAGCUCGUGUCGUGAGAUGUUGGGUUAAGUCCCGCAACGAGCGCAACCCUUAAGCUUAGUUGCCAUCAUUAAGUUGGGCACUCUAAGUUGACUGCCGGUGACAAACCGGAGGAAGGUGGGGAUGACGUCAAAUCAUCAUGCCCCUUAUGAUUUGGGCUACACACGUGCUACAAUGGACAAUACAAAGGGCAGCGAAACCGCGAGGUCAAGCAAAUCCCAUAAAGUUGUUCUCAGUUCGGAUUGUAGUCUGCAACUCGACUACAUGAAGCUGGAAUCGCUAGUAAUCGUAGAUCAGCAUGCUACGGUGAAUACGUUCCCGGGUCUUGUACACACCGCCCGUCACACCACGAGAGUUUGUAACACCCGAAGCCGGUGGAGUAACCUUUUAGGAGCUAGCCGUCGAAGGUGGGACAAAUGAUUGGGGUGAAGUCGUAACAAGGUAGCCGUAUCGGAAGGUGCGGCUGGAUCACCU